UACGAAGGGUGCAAGCGUUACUCGGAAUCACUGGGCGUAAAGGGUGCGUAGGCGGGUUUCUAAGUCAGAGGUGAAAGCCUGGAGCUCAACUCCAGAACUGCCUUUGAUACUGGAAGUCUUGAGUUCGGGAGAGGUGAGUGGAACUGCGAGUGUAGAGGUGAAAUUCGUAGAUAUCGGGAGGAAUACCAGUGGCGAAGGCGCUGACCUGGACGAAGAUUGACGCUGAGGUGCGAAAGCGCGGGGAGCAAACAGG
rnacentral:rRNA from 1 species